AGCGAACGCUGGCGGCAGGCUUAACACAUGCAAGUCGAGCGGGCCCUUCGGGGUCAGCGGCGGACGGGUGAGUAACGCGUGGGAACGUGCCUUCUGGUCUGGAAUAACCCUGGGAAACUAGGGCUAAUACCGGAUACGCCCUUUUGGGGAAAGGUUUACUGCCGGAAGAUCGGCCCGCGUCUGAUUCGCUAGUUGGUGGGGUAACGGCCUACCAAGGCGACGAUCAGUAGCUGGUCUGAGAGGAUGAUCAGCCACACUGGGACUGAGACACGGCCCAGACUCCUACGGGAGGCAGCAGUGGGGAAUAUUGGACAAUGGGCGCAAGCCUGAUCCAGCCAUGCCGCGUGAGUGAUGAAGGCCGUAGGGUUGUAAAGCUCUUUUAUCCGGGACGAUAAUGACGGUACCGGAGGAAUAAGCCCCGGCUAACUUCGUG
rnacentral:rRNA from 1 species